CCUACGGGCGGCAGCAGUGAGGAAUAUUGGUCAAUGGACGAGAGUCUGAACCAGCCAAGUAGCGUGAAGGAUGACUGCCCUACGGGUUGUAAACUUCUUUUAUAAAGGAAUAAAACGAGGCACGUGUGCCUUUUUGCAUGUACUUUAUGAAUAAGGAUCGGCUAAUUCCGUGCCAGCAGCCGCGGUAAUACGGAGGAUCCGAGCGUUAUCCGGAUUUAUUGGGUUUAAAGGGAGCGUAGAUGGAUUGGUAAGCCAGUUGUGAAAGUUUGGGGCUCAACCGGAAAAUUGCAAGUGAUACUGGCAGUCUUGAGUACGGUUGAGGUAGGCGGAAUGCGUGGUGUAGCGGUGAAAUGCUUAGAUAUGACGAAGAACCCCGAUUGCGAAGGCAGCUUACUAAACUGUGACUGACAUUGAUGCUCGAAAGUGUGGGUAUCAAACAGGAUUAGAUACCCGAGUAGUC
rnacentral:rRNA from 1 species